rnacentral:tRNA from 2 species
GGGCCGUUAGCUCAAUUGGCAGAGCAGCGGACUUUUAAUCCGUUGGUUGUGGGUUCAAGUCCCACACGGCCUA